UUCAAUUCUAUUGCGUAAUAUAAAAUCGUGCACGAAUAUUGCAUAAUGUAAUAGUUACGAUUUUUGAAUUUUGUUCGAUUCAUAUGUGCUAAUAGUUAAUCGUAGUUAUUACAAUUAAUAUUUAAUGUUUGUUAAAAUACGCGCGUUAUAUUCGUGAACGAGUAUAGUUUCUGGUAAUAGAAGAAAGAAAAGCUGUUAGAUUAUCCACUGCCAAGCUGUUAUCUACGAAUGUCACACGAACAAAGGUCAGUAAGGAAAAGAUAACCAAAAAAGUAGUCAUAUCCUCGUCAAUAUCGCCGCCAUGAUAAAGAAUCGGAAGGAGGAAGGGGAGGAGGGAAAGGAACAAAUGCUCGAACCUUCGAACCUACGUUUAAUUCGGUUUAUCCCUUUCGCAUCGUUAAACCCGAUUAGUAGCAAAAUUCGCGUCAGUGCGAGACGAGAAGCGUCUCACUCGACGAGAAAAGAUUGCCAAGGGAUGGCGAAGGAACCCGAAAAAGGGUUGCGAAAAGAAAGAAACGGUUAAUCUCGAAACCGGAUUUUUAAUUAAAGGAAUAAUUAAAAAGAAAAAAAGAGAAAAAAAGGAGCAACCCCUCCGCUUUCCACAGGCGGGGGGACGAUAAAUUAAUAAAUCAAAUUAACAGUUGUUGUAACUCUUGUCUGUUAUGCGGUGAUGCAUGGCUGGACCAACUUCGUUCCGCGAUAAUAAGAUUGUAAUUAAAACUGCUCCUACCUUUAUCAACCGAUACCCCUUCCUGGACUAAAGAUGUGAUUCAAAACAAGGAGGGGAAAAGAGGACAAGAAAUUAUCAUCGCGGUCAUCUCGUUGACCAAAUCUUUUUUUCUUUUUUUUCUUUUGAGAAUUGAAAUUGGAAAUGUGUUGUUCGGCGAACUUAACAAAUUUAAGAAGUAAUCAGGGAAGAUAGUUUCUGCCUCACUGUUCCACGAGCACGUCGCGCGGAUUUCACGCGGAUAGAUUUCAAAUCCCAUCUCGCGCAUCGUUCGCUCUAGAUUCUCGCUCCAUUAUAUAGAAGGACUUGGAUGAAAGGGACCCUUCGUUCCACGACCCCGAAACCGGUAACACGUCGGAUACGAAGGCAAAACGGUGUGUAAUCAUCGUCCUCGGAUUACGGUGAUAUCGUUCCUCGAAGAAUGACACGAAUCCCUGUACCCCUCUCCUCUCCCUCCUCUCUCCUUUUUUUUUUUUACCUCGAAUUAUUCCAAGUGGCGUUAUGCUCCUUGAAUGAUUUCCUUGAAUCCAUUGAUCUACUUGAAAGAUCGUGCAGGAUUUUGAGGAAUUAAGGAUAUCGAGGGAGGAAUGUUGGAGAAGGAACAACGUCUUGUUUAAUAAUCUACUUAAUAUAUCCGCGAAAAAUUGCGGUUCAUUAUUGGCAGACAUCCUGUAUGAAACGUAUGCACAUGUAUAAUAUAUAGAAGAAGUAUGUUUAUGAUAUAAAGAAAUAUAAAGAAUCAGACAAGGACAGAUAUAGGAUAAAAAUUAGAAAAUCAGCGCCAUCUUCAGAGUGCCGCAAAAGAAACAUACGAAGAAAGGAUAAAAAAUAGGAAGAGAAGGAUAGAGAUAAGGUAAGAAUAGAAUACUAACGCCAUCUUCUGAAUGCAAAAAAUAUCUUUUUAAAGGUAAAAAGAUAAAGGAUAAAGUAAAUUAAGAAUUGAAGACUAGUGCCAUCUCAUGAAUGCUAAAAAUAUAUUUUUUUAAUAAUAACUCAAUAGAUGGUGGUAACGAUCAAUUCUUAUUUUAUUUCUAUCCUUUUUUUAUUAUUCUCUUCUCUCUUUUUAUAUGUUUUAUUCGCGGCACUCUGAAGAUGGCGUUGAUGAUACAAUAUUUAUCAUACUUAUCCACUAGUUUUUCUUGUAUACAUUUAUUGAAUAAAAUUUAUGCUUCAUGAUACACAUAUGUGAUCAAUUGUAUUGUCUUUUUAUAUAAUAUA